rnacentral:lncRNA from 1 species
AUAAAAUUACAAACCAUGGGGUGCCAACUAAUUUAAAGAAGGCCAUUUGCAGAUUUCAGUCUUUGAGCUGGUCAUUUUAUUUUAUUUUAUUUUUUUUUUUUUGAGCUGGUCAUUUUAAAUGUAUAAGGGAGUAAUUAAUAAAUUUGAUCCCCAAGAUACCUUUUAGGAUUCUAGGAUUCUGAUUUUCUUUAACGUUUUUGGAGGAAAGGUGAAAAUAUUUCCCAAAGUUGUUUAAAAUGCCUGCCAAUAUAGGCAAAUAAUCUGCCUUUACUAGGGAAAGAACAGUGUUGAACUAUUUGUGUCUUCCAUGAAUAGGAAUUUCUGAUGCUCUGCCAUCUGAGGGAGUGCUGCAUUCACUCAGGAUUGAUGUUUUACAUCAAAGUUUAUCCCAACUUAGAAUUACAGAAAUUUUCCUCUGAGAUACCACCCAAACACGCAGAUUUCCUUGGAGGUUACUAUGAGGGUUAAGCACUCAGAGGAAUGGGUAUGUAAUUUUGGUGAACAUCAGAAUCCCUUGGGAACAUCAUCAAGCAUGCAGAUACCCAAGCCCCUGGAAUAACCAGUUAUAAUCAGCAUCAUUUCUGAAUAUGGUGUGUAAUAUAACUUAACUUAGGGCCAAGUGCCAGUGAACACAUUAUGCUAUCUCCUGAUCACUUUUGUGUCUGUCCAA